rnacentral:rRNA from 1 species
CCUACGGGUGGCAGCAGUGAGGAAUCUUGGUCAAUGGGCGCGAGCCUGAACCAGCCAAGUCGCGUGAGGGAAGACGGCCCUACGGGUUGUAAACCUCUUUUGCCGGGGAGCAACGGGCGCCACGUGUGUCUCCACUGAGAGUACCCGGAGAAAAAGCAUCGGCUAACUCGGUGCCAGCAGCCGCGGUAAUACGGAGGCGUCGAGCGUUAUCCGGAUUUAUUGGGUUUAAGGGGUGCGUAGGCGGAGCGUUAAGUCAGUGGUCAAAUUGAGGGGCUCAACCCCUUCCCGCCAUUGAAACUGGCGCUCUUGAGUGGAAGAGAAGUAUGCGGAAUGCGUGGUGUAGCGGUGAAAUGCAUAGAUAUCACGCAGAACCCCGAUUGCGAAGGCAGCAUGCCGGCUUCCUACUGACGCUGAAGCACGAAAGCGUGGGGAUCGAACAGGAUUAGAUACCCCGGUAGUC